AUGCAAAAAACCCCGACUUCGGGAGGGGUGUAUUUAUUAGAUAAAAAACCAAUGCCCUUCGGGGCUCUUUGGUGAUUCAUGAUAACUUAACGGAUCGCAUGGCCUUGCGCCGGCGACGGUUCAUUCAAAUUUCUGCCCUAUCAACUUUCGAUGGUAAGGUAUUGGCUUACCAUGGUUUCAACGGGUAACGGAUUUUUAGGGAAAGAUCCCGGAGAGGGAGCCUGAGAAACGGCUACCACAUCCAAGGAAGGCAGCAGGCGCGCAAAUUACCCAAUCCCGACACGGGGAGGUAGUGACAAUAAAUACUGAUACAGGGCUCUUUUGGGUCUUGUAAUCGGAAUGAGUACAAUUUAAAUACCUUAACGAGGAACAAUUGGAGGGCAAGUCUGGUGCCAGCAGCCGCGGUAAUUCCAGCUCCAAUAGCGUAUAUUAAAGUUGUUGCAGUUAAAAAGCUCGUAGUUGAACCUUGGGCCUGGCUGGCUGGUCCGCCUCACCGCGUGUACUGGUCCGGCCGGGCCUUUCCUUCUGGAGAACCGCAUGCCCUUUACUGGGUGUGUCGGGGAACCAGGACUUUUACUUUGAGAAAAUUAGAGUGUUCAAAGCAGGCCUUUGCUCGAAUACGUUAGCAUGGAAUAAUAGAAUAGGACGUGCGGUCCUAUUUUGUUGGUUUCUAGAACCGCCGUAAUGAUUAAUAGGGAUAGUCGGGGGCGUCAGUAUUCAAUUGUCAGAGGUGAAAUUCUUGGAUCUAUUGAAGACUAACUACUGCGAAAGCAUUCGCCAAGGAUGUUUUCAUUAAUCAGUGAACGAAAGUUAGGGGAUCGAAGACGAUCAGAUACCGUCGUAGUCUUAACCGUAAACUAUGCCGACUAGGGAUCGGGC
rnacentral:rRNA from 1 species